UUUUUUUUUAAGUAAUAGAUUGUAUUGUUUUUUUUUUUUUUGAUAAGUAAAGAGAAUUUCAUAUAUAAAGAGAUGCCAAAAAAGUGACUCAAGGUAUACAAUACCUAUACACCCACCACCAAAAAGGCCAAAAAAGAAGAAGACAAACACCCAGCUGACCCAGAAUACAACCUUAAUAGGAUCCCAACCAAUCAAUAAAAUUAACCAUAGUUAGAGGGCAAUCAACUAUAAAUAACUUAGCCUCAGACCAAAGUGAAAAAACAAAGGAGUAUUUCAUUCUCUGUAUUGACAACACAUUAUCCUUGAAAGUCAAUUUGUUUCUCGCCUUCCAAAUCGCCCAAAAAAUAUAAAGAGGAGCAGCUCUCCACACCUUCUUGCGCUUUUUGCCCACAAAAGAACCAUAUCAGCUAAGGAGAGUCUCUCUAAAUGAUGAAGGCAAUGCCAGAUAAGGAGAAGGGUGAGGUUUUGGAGGGAUAGAUGGUGUGGGGAAUCCCCUUUAUGUGUGUCUUUUCCUUCCUUAUUUGUUUUGGUUGUUGACAAGGAAGCUUGGGUGGCGGAUGUUUUGGACCCCUUGGUGGAGGGGGGUUGGAAUCCCCGUUUUUCAAGAGCCCUAAAUGACUGGGAGGUGGAAAAGGCGGAAAGAUUCUUUUUUUGAUAAGUAAGCACAAAAUUCAUUCAUAAAAGGCGAAUUAGCCCCAAAGUAUAUAGGGAGUAUACAUGGCAGUUAAGACCUUACAAGCAAAAAACCAAUAACUCACCACCCCUUAUCUGGAGGCUAACCACUCCAAGAAUCCUAUAAGGGAAUGCGGCUCCUCACCAAUAUACAAUUUAGCCCAACCCCAAAUGUUACAUACAAAAUAAUAUUUAAGCCUUUGAAUUGUUAACUCCCCUCCCCUAAAAGCUAAUCUAUUCCUUUCCUUUCAAACCGUCCAAAAAAUAAAUAACAGAAUGAAAUUCCAAAGUUUUUUCCUUUUUUUUCCCCACAAAAGCACCCCCCAAACUAAAUAAAACCUCCUUUACAGUUUUAGGAAAAGCCCACUUAACCCCAAAUAAGCCCAAAACUAAGUCCCACAGCACUCUGACCACUGUACAAUGAAUAAGAAUGUGAUUUACAUUUUCCUCUUCACAAGCACACAAAAAACAGCGAUUGGGAAGCUGCCACCCUCUCUUCUGGAGUCUAUCAAGAGUCAAUAUCUUCCCCCAAGUGGCUUCCCACGCAAAAAACAUAAUUUUAGUUGGAACUCUCUCCACCCAAAUUUUAUUUUUCGGAAAGAUGACCUCCAAAGGCCUAUCCAACCGGCUGUACGCUUCCUUAACUCUAAACUGCCAAUUUCCUCCUCCCUUCCAAAAAACCGAAUCUUCCUCCCAAGUUAUCCUGUAUCCCCUCAACACCUGAAGCAAGUUGCCUACCAUAUCCAACUCCCAAUCAUUAAAAUCCCUAAUAAAUCUCAAAUUCCAACCUCCUCCAAAAUUUUGGUCCCACAUUUCUUCUAUUGUCGCAUUCCUAUGAGUUGCCAAAAUGAAGAGAUGCGAGAAUCUUUGGGACAAUGCUAUAUCCCCACACCAAAGGUCAGUCCAGAACCUAAUUUUAUUGCCUUUCCCCACUUUGAACGCCAAGUUUUCCCAGCACCAUCCAGCUUCCUUUAAAAUCUCCUUCCAAACCCCCACCCCAAACGCACCCACAACCUUUUUAGUCCUCCAGCUGAAGUCCUCUUGACCAUACUUCACCAACAACACUUGCUUCCAGAGAGCAUCCUUAUCACAAGCGAAUCUCCAAAUCCAUUUGCCAAGUAAAAAUUUGUUUAAAAGGGUUAGUUUCCUUAUUCCAAGCCCCCCUUUCUCCUUAUCCCCACACACCACCUCCCAUUUGACAAGAUGAGCUUUCCUUUCCAGGUUUCCCUCUCCCCACAAAAAAUCUCUUUGCAGUUUUUCUAGUCUCCUUGCCACAGAAUUGGGCAUUCGAAAGAGGGACAUUUGAUACAUUGGCAUGCUUGUCAUUGUGCUCUUUAUAAGAGUGAUUCUCCCGCCCUUUGAAAUAUAUUGUCUUUUCGAAAGGGCAAGCCUCCUCCUCACUUUCUCUUCUACCCCAUCCCACCUAGAGAUGGCCUUAUUUGGCGCCCCCAGAGGCAGCCCCAAGUAAACUGCAAGCAGCUGCCCUACCCUACACCCUAACUCCACUGCCAUCUCUUCCACCUCUUCCACUUCCCCUAUUGGAAUGAUCUCGUUUUUAGCCAAAUUAAUUCUUAACCCUGAAACGGCUUCAAACCAAAACAGAAUCCAACUCAAAUUUGUUAAAUGCUCCUUUUUUGCCUCACAAAAAACGAUUGUGUCAUCGGCAAAGAGCAAGUGUGCAAUGUGGACAGCCCGCCCUUUACCACGCUGAAUUUUACACCCUGAGAUAAAUCCCUCUUCCACAGCCCUUCUUAUUAGAACGCUCAACACUUCCAUCCCCAUGACAAAGAGAUAGGGGGAAAGGAGGUCCCCUUGGUGCAACCCCUUCGAGCUUGAGAAGAAGCCAACUGGGACUCCGUUCACCAUGACUGAGAACUUAGCUGUGGAAAUACACCACCACAUCCACCUCAGCCACUUUGAACCAAACCCCAUUUUUUCCAUAACCUUCUAAAGGAAUUGCCAAUUAAUGCUAUCAUAGGCCUUCUCAAUAUCUAGCUUACAGAUUAACCCUUUCUCACUCCUUUUAUUCCACGCGUCAAUCACCUCAUUUGCUAUUAGAGAGGCAUCUAGAAUCUGUCUUCUCGUGACAAACGCGUUCUGAUCAGGGAAGACCACUCUUCCUAUCACUUUUUUAAGCCUAUUGGCCAGCACCUUAGCCAACAGCUUAUAAAGCCCCCCCAAGAGGCUGAUGGGUCUAAAGUCCCCUAGAUCCUCGACCCCUCCUUUCUUUGGUAACAACACCAAAAAGGUAUUGUUGAGACUUUGAGGAAAACAUCCUGAUCAUAAAACUCCUUGAACAUCUCCAAAAUCUCCUCCUUUACAAAAUCCUAGCAACUUUGCCAGAAAGACAAAGUGAAGCCGUCUGGUCCUGGGGCUUUAUCCCCGUUCAUAUCCAUCAAAGCCGCCUGGACCUCAGCCUCAG
rnacentral:lncRNA from 1 species